CCUUCUCUGGCGCAUUUAUUUCCGUUUUCAUAGCAGUGCACUUUCGACAUCCGGCAUCUACCGUGUGUUCCUACAUCUGCAAACAAACAUGAGAGUGUGUUGUCACUAUGGCAGACUUGGUAACAGACAACAAAGACAAAUAUUUUUGGCAAAGUGAGGAUUUGCAGCCUCAUCUUUUUUAAGCUGAAUAUACAAACGGAGGAUGAUCUGCUGCUUAUAGAAGCGCGCACGAAGAAGAGGGUGAGACGUUGUAGCAGACAGAAGCCAUAAGAGUGAGGUUGGUGCGUCUUGGUCACGCUGAAAAUCUAGAAAUGUUUAAUUAUUGGAAUCCCCAAAUCAACUGGAAACGUCCCCAGCCAGUUUGACCAAACGGACAACUGUCCAUCGACUGAUCCACAGGUCUCCUCUGGUGAGGAAGCAAGCCACAGCAUGUCUCGCCAAGUGAUGGAUCCAUCCUUCUCGUCUCAGCUGAGUCAUAAUUGCGUCGAUGAAAGGGAAACCAGUACGAGCCUUGCCGAAAUACAGAAUAAAUUCACUGUUUUUUGGGGGUUUUUUUAGAAACGUGGUGAUGAUGAUGACAAGGUACCUCUCUCCAAGCAGCAAGGGAGUCGUCAUUUGCAUCCCAGUCCACCUGAGUACACACAGGGUUGCCCUCCAUCUUGUUAAAAUUGGGGAUACCCACGCUGGCUGUGUAGAAGAACUCUCUCCAAAGUAGCUGACCGUGCAGGGACACUGGCGGGGCUGAAUGCUUUUUCUAACAACAAAAAAGACCAAUUACACAUACUAAAUAGAAAAAGCUAUAUAGUGACCCGUUACUGACAUCGCUUCUCAGUGAACUCUGUGAAAUUCUAACCCUUAAAAAUGUCAGCCUAUACAGCACUACCAUCACAAUACUCACCCCCUUGUAGACCUCGGUCAGCCUCCACCAGAAGGUGCGCGCAGACAGGCACCCGAAGGUGACAUAGGGGCUGAGGACUGUAGUACUCGGGCUCAGGGAGUUGGGCGAGGUCUGAGGUUUCUCAAAGCUACAAACCCAACCCUUGAGAAGACAGAGAUACAUAUAUGUUAUAUAUCAACAGUAUUAAUGUGUCUUUUUCAUUAAUUAAUGUUCUUAUACUUUCAUUUGUGAUUAAGGGCUAUAGGGCAAUAUAUAGUGAUGUAUUUAUUUAUAUCAUCUCUUGACAAAUUUGCAACACAUAAACUCACUGGACACGUUAUAAGGUACACCUGCUCUUUCUGUUAACAUGGUAAAAUAGAUCGCAAAGCAAAACAAAUAUUAAGAAAAUAAUUUACUGUGUUUUUCAUCUUUUCCUCCAAUCGCCUCAAAGCUUCUUGUUCUCCUCCAGGGAACGGCUCCUCUCCAAGCUCUGAAGUGUCAUGGCCCAGCUCGUCCAGCGUGGGUAUACUGUAGUGAUUCACGUCAUCUUCUGAAUGAGGGGUCUUCAGGCCUUUUUAACAAACGGAUAAACAUAAACUCUGUGAAAUGUACCGGGCCGCAUUUGUUUUAAGACACAUACCUUUCACAUCCUCCAUGCUGGGAGCAGGGAUUGGCCUCUUUGGGGGCCCGAGGGUCUUCACAACAGCCUGCAUGCGGUUGUAUGUGAGGGGAGCUUUCCCAUUAUUCUCCUCAAUUAUCCUGGGGAAACAUAAUAGUAAAGAUAUAUUGAUGGAUAUCUAUGUAAAUACUUUGGAUAAGCAUGAAAAUAAAAUAUUUAAACAUUC